AGAAGAUGGUAAGGGCAAACGGUGGAUGCCUUGGCACAAGAAGCCGAUGAAGGACGUGAUAAGCUGCGAUAAGCCACGGUAAGGAGCACAUAUCCUGUGACCCGUGGAUUUCCGAAUGGGUAAACCCACCAAGAGUCAUUUCUUGGUACUUCCUGCUGAAUAUAUAGGCAGGAUAGAGGUAACCGGGGGAACUGAAACAUCUAAGUACCCCGAGGAAGAGAAAUCAAACGAGAUUCCCCUAGUAGUGGCGAGCGAACGGGGAUAUAGGACAAACCGUCAGUUGCGCAAGCGCUGGCGGGGUUGUAGGACCAUUCAUUGUGGAGUUACAAAACUUCGUGGAAGCAGAAUAGCUUGGAAAAGCUGGCGAGACAGGGUAAAAGCCCCGUACGCGAAUCUGCGAAGACUCCCGAGUGGCACCUGAGUACUGCCGGACACGUGAAACCCGGUGGGAACCUGGGGGGUCCACCCUCCAAUCCUAAAUACUCUCUUGUGACCGAUAGUGAACCAGUACCGUGAGGGAAAGGUGAAAAGCACCCCUAGCGGGGAGUGAAAUAGUACCUGAAACCGUUUGCCUACAAGCAGUCGGAGCAGACUUUUGUCUGUGACGGCGUGCCUUUUGUAGAAUGAGCCAGCGAGUUACGGCAUGUGGCAAGGUUAAGCUAAAAAGCGAGCCGCAGCGAAAGCGAGUCUGAAUAGGGCGAGUGAGUCGCAUACCGUAGACGCGAAGCCAGGUGAGCUAUCCAUGAGCAGGCUGAAGCGGGGGUAAGACCCCGUGGAGGGCCGAACCCACUUAGGUUGAAAACUGAGGGGAUGACUUGUGGAUAGGAGUGAAAGGCCUAUCAAACCUGGAGAUAUCUCGUUCUCUCCGAAAUAGCUUUAGGGCUAGCCUCGGAUGUUUACCAAUGGGGGUAGAGCACUGAAUAGUUGCGGGGGCUUCACCGCCUACCAAGAUUAAUCAAACUCCGAAUACCAUUGGUCUAGAAUCCGGGAGUCAGAAUAUGUGGGCUAAGCUGUGUAUUCGAAAGGGAAACAGCCCAGACCGCCCGCUAAGGUCCCAAAAUCAAUGCUAAGUGGCAAAGGAUGUGCGUUUGCUCAGACAACCAGGAUGUUGGCUUAGAAGCAGCCAUUCAUUUAAAGAGUGCGUAAUAGCUCACUGGUCGAGUGGACAUGCGCCGACAAUAUACGGGGCUAAGCAUUGUACCGAAGCGGCGGAUCAGUACUUUGUACUGGUGGUAGGAGAGCUUUCUGUACGGGUUGAAGCAGUUGGAUAACCAACUGUGGACUGUCCAGAAGUGAGAAUGCUGGCAUGAGUAACGAGAGACAUGUAAAAAACAUGUCCGCCGUAAACCCAAGGUUUCCUGGGCAAGGCUAAUCCUCCCAGGGUUAGGCGGGAGCUAAGGCAAGGCCGGAAGGCGUAGUCGAUGCACAACAGGUAGAAAUUCCUGUCCCUCCAAAAGAGCGUUAUCACCAAUGGGGUGACGGAGCAGGGUAGCUAGGCGGGGUUCUGGACGUCCCCGUGAUGGCACGUAGGCUGAGAAGUAGUGAAAUGCGCUUCUCGUGUGGCUGAGGUGUCGGACGAAGCAAUUGAGUGAAGCUAGUAAGCCCAUACUUCCAAGAAAAACCUCUAGGGAGCUCUGAGGAGCCCGUACCGCAAACCGACACAGGUGGGUGGGUAGAGCAUACCAAGGCGAUCGGGAGAACUAUGGUUAAGGAACUCGGCAAAAUUGCCCCGUAACUUCGGGAGAAGGGGUGCCGGUUUCGGUGAAGGGAUUUACUCCCCGAGCUAAGAUCGGUCACAGUAAAUAGGUCCAAGCGACUGUUUAUCAAAAACACAGGACUCUGCUGAAGUCGUAAGACGACGUAUAGGGUCUGACGCCUGCCCGGUGCCGGAAGGUCACGAGGAGUUGUUAGCAUUAGCGAAGCAGCGAAUCUAAGCCCCGGUAAACGGCGGCCGUAACUAUAACGGUCCUAAGGUAGCGAAAUUCCUUGUCGGGU
rnacentral:rRNA from 1 species